rnacentral:rRNA from 1 species
CAGUCGAACGAACUCUGGUAUUGAUUGAUGCUUGCAUCAUGAUUUACAUUUGAGUGAGUGGCGAACUGGUGAGUAACACGUGGGAAACCUGCCCAGAAGCGGGGGAUAACACCUGGAAACAGAUGCUAAUACCGCAUAACAACUUGGACCGCAUGGUCCGAGUUUGAAAGAUGGCUUCGGCUAUCACUUUUGGAUGGUCCCGCGGCGUAUUAGCUAGAUGGUGAGGUAACGGCUCACCAUGGCAAUGAUACGUAGCCGACCUGAGAGGGUAAUCGGCCACAUUGGGACUGAGACACGGCCCAAACUCCUACGGGAGGCAGCAGUAGGGAAUCUUCCACAAUGGACGAAAGUCUGAUGGAGCAACGCCGCGUGAGUGAAGAAGGGUUUCGGCUCGUAAAACUCUGUUGUUAAAGAAGAACAUAUCUGAGAGUAACUGUUCAGGUAUUGACGGUAUUUAACCAGAAAGCCACGGCUAACUACGUGCCAGCAGCCGCGGUAAUACGUAGGUGGCAAGCGUUGUCCGGAUUUAUUGGGCGUAAAGCGAGCGCAGGCGGUUUUUUAAGUCUGAUGUGAAAGCCUUCGGCUCAACCGAAGAAGUGCAUCGGAACUGGGAAACUUGAGUGCAGAAGAGGACAGUGGAACUCCAUGUGUAGCGGUGAAAUGCGUAGAUAUAUGGAAGAACACCAGUGGCGAAGGCGGCUGUCUGGUCUGUAACUGACGCUGAGGCUCGAAAGUAUGGGUAGCAAACAGGAUUAGAUACCCUGGUAGUCCAUACCGUAAACGAUGAAUGCUAAGUGUUGGAGGGUUUCCGCCCUUCAGUGCUGCAGCUAACGCAUUAAGCAUUCCGCCUGGGGAGUA